AAGUCGAACGGCAGCGGGUCCUUCGGGAUGCCGGCGAGUGGCGGACGGGUGCGUAACGCGUAUGCAACCUACCCAUCACAGGGGGAUAGCCCGGGGAAACUCGGAUUAAUACCCUAUAAAGCAGGGGUUUCGCAUGGAACUAUUUGCUAAAGAUUUAUCGGUGAUGGAUGGGCAUGCGUCUGAUUAGUUAGUUGGUGAGGUAACGGCUCACCAAGGCGACGAUCAGUAGGGGGUCUGAGAGGAUGAUCCCCCACACUGGCACUGAGAUACGGGCCAGACUCCUACGGGAGGCAGCAGUAGGGAAUAUUGGUCAAUGGGCGAGAGCCUGAACCAGCCAUGCCGCGUGCAGGAAGACGGCCUUCUGGGUUGUAAACUGCUUUUCUACGGGAAUAAAAAGGUUCUGCGGGACAAAUUGCAUGUACCGUAGGAAUAAGCACCGGCUAACUCCGUGCCAGCAGCCGCGGUAAUACGGAGGGUGCAAGCGUUGUCCGGAUUUAUUGGGUUUAAAGGGUGCGUAGGCGGAUAAUUAAGUCAGGGGUGAAAGGCAUUGGCUCAACCAAUGAAUUGCCUUUGAUACUGGUUAUCUUGAGUUCAGUUGAGGUGGGCGGAAUUUAUGGUGUAGCGGUGAAAUGCAUAGAUACCAUAAAGAACACCGAUAGCGUAGGCAGCUCACUAAGCUGAAACUGACGCUGAGGCACGAAAGCAUGGGGAGCGAACAGGAUU
rnacentral:rRNA from 1 species